rnacentral:misc_RNA from 1 species
UCCAACAUGGGGGUUUGCUUCAGGCUUGCAGUGCUGCAAUCUCAUUGACAACUUGGGCUUUGUCGGCUUCAAACUGCUCAUCCUCUUUAUCUGUCUUGAAGGUGCUAAAGAACCGAAGAAACUUGCUUCUAUUUGUCACUAGAAUGCUUACGAUCUCAGGAGGCUUGUUUUGAUUAGCAGCAAAUAACUUGAAUACAUGGAAUGCCUCUAUUUGGAUGUUCUUACUUGGUUCCCUGAGAAGAUUCAUCAAGAUCAUCAAGUUGUCCUUUGAGCUAACAUACCGCAUCAUGG